GACAUUUCUGUUUCACCUUCCAUGUUGUCACAAGACCAUUAUAAAUAGGACUUGAACACAUUGAGCAAAAUACACAAAAUCAAAGCAAAGCAGAUCAGCUUAUUGGGCUUUGCUUCAUCAAAAGAAAGUAAGAGACGAAAGGGAAAUUGAGAGUGAUGGAGGUGAUUGAUGUUCUUCGCAUGAAUGGAGGGAUUGGAGAUACAAGUUAUGCAAACAACUCAUUGGUUCAGGUAACACUAAACCAUAUCGUGUACUUAAUCUUAAUUCUCCUCCAUAUUUUUGACAAUUUAGUGAAUCUUUUUCUUCUCUGUACUUUUUCAUAUAAUUUUUGAGCGUGUAUUUGGUUCUCUCGGAUCAAUUUUAAGCUUCAAAUUUGGCACCAAAGUUUCUAUCUUGGUCUUCAUAUUUUACGUGCAUAGUUUUUUAAUUCACUACAAGGAAAAAGAGGGAAACCAAUUUGAUUAGUAAUUGGACCUUGCACUGAGAUUCGUCCCCAAAACAAGAAGGUCACAUGCUUACAGUUAGACGCGGAUGAGAAUUAAAUUGUACAUGUUUUUUUUGUCGACACAAAAAAUUUUAUACUAUAAUUACUCCUACUCUACACUAGGAGAAGGGAGAACUAAAGAGGUGAAAGGAAACCGGAUGGGCCACCCCCGGUUCAGACGAGUGCAUAAGCACCGGUUGGCGAAAUAUUUUCCAAAAAGUCUGGAUAUUGAUCUCUUGAUCUACACCAAAUCCCUUGACCUAAACUCAAGUAGAGAUUUUAAAUCUCUCUCAGUAGCCUACAAGAAUCUUGUACGUUGAAUGCAGCAAAUGAAACCUUUGCUGAGAGUCUUAGGUAUUUGUGUAAAAGCAUCAAAUGAACAUUCAAUGUACGUGUUGUGCAAUUGUUUGCCAAAUAUCAUGAACAAAUCCUAACCAUUUGUACCAGGAAAUGGAAAGUAGAUGUACUUCUAAAUUGAUUUGAUGUGAUGAGUUUGGUUCACAAGUACUUGAGUAUAAAGGAAAUUUGAAAAUCAUUAAGGGUUUUUUAAACUGGUGUCAUAGUUACUCGUUAAGACGUUAAUAUACUAACAAUUAUUGUUCUCCCUUGUAUCUAUACACUUUCUCUAAUUAAUUUUAUUUUUCUAAAAAUCUAAUAUCUGAAAUACAUUUUAAUGGGUGCUCAAUGGGUACAUUUAGACAUAUUCAAUCAUAAUCGUUAAUUUGAAGACGAAUUUUCUGGCCUAUCCUAAUCAUGACAGGAUUUUAACUUAAUUUGGUUGUUUGAUCAUAUGCCAGAAAAAAGCCUUCAAAUUUCAUGGAAAUGAACAAAGUUGACUGUGAGGAGCAACAACGUGCUGGUUCCCGUUGGAAUAAUCUCAUCUUUGAUGCAGGAUCAGUAGAUAGGCUUGAUAAAUUGGUAGAUAUUUUGUUUGUUAGUUCGAGUUGAUAUCUUAAAUACUAUGUAGUCCACGUAACAAAGACGGUUGAACAGAGGGUAGAUGUUGAAUCACAACUACCAAAAGAAGAAAAGACAAAUCAAAUGGAAAUAUUCGUGAUUCAAAAGUAUACAAGGAAUAUUGGCGAUAAUUCUGUAAUGAACUAUACAAGGAAUAAAGCUCCUGCAAUGCAAAUCAGAGGAACUAAAUUCAGGAAACACUUUAAAUUUUGUUCAUUAUUUUCCAAGUAUUUAGAUCUUACUAAGUUCAGAAACCAAAGAUUUAGAUCGUUAACUUUGAUCCUCAAGUUUUUGCAUCAUUUGGCAGAAAAUUCGUUUCUAUAUCUAUUUAUCUAAGCUGAAACGUGUUUAAAUUCUUUCUUGAUCCCUCAAGAAAAAGAAGCAAAAAUUUCUUCUUUUGCCUUCUAUGAAUUGGUCUUUUUGUCAACCUUGUUCGGAAAGUCAUUUUCUUCCAAAAAAAUUUCUACGUUUUUUGUAAAUAUAUUUUUGAAUCACCUUUUUAUUUUACAUAUGUUAAAUCGUUAUAAUAUAUAUAUAUAUAUAUAUAUAUAUUUAUAUAUAUUUACAAAAACUUCAAAACUCUUUUUCUGUAUGCUAACGUUUUUUAAAUGCAAUGAAUUUGAAUUUGAAACAACACUGUCCUAGAUCAGUUUCUUCGUGUUUGACUUGAAGAUUAUGCCUUUGCAUGCGUCAUGCAUACUUCUUUUGCCCAAGUAGUUGGGGUAGAUACUCUUUUAGAUACUCCUUUUUUUUUUAGUGUGUUACAUAAUUACUAGAUACUUUUGUUUUUCCUUCUUAGAUCCUCUUUUGCCAAAGCGUUUCUAGAUACUUUUUUUUAUUUUAUUUAAGUAGAUAAUUGCUAGGGAAGAAAAGGAUUUUGACCUUAAAUUAAUCAUGCCAAUUUUACCAACUACUAAGUUUUUGUUUUUUUUUUACACAGGAAGAAUCCCAACUUUGCCGGACUAAUCUCUCUGCGCCUGUACACCCCACCCUCCAAGGAUACACAGCACGGUAGGAGGGACGACUCGAACACACGACCUCAGGACUCAAAGGAGCUACCCUGAUGCCAUCCAAGCCAACCCCGAGAGGCUUUACCAACUACUAAGAACUAACUGUUUUUGAGGUUAAUUACUCAAGCCAAUAUACUCCAACAUGUUGUAUGUGUGUCAAGUUCAUACAAAAAUCUGGACCACAGGUCCAGACACAUGGUAAACAUAAAUUAAGUGGCUAGAAAAGGUGAAGCAGAGAAUAAAUUACACUUUUGUGAGCAUUGAAAACCUUCUCCUGAGUAGCCACAAUCUCAAUUGUCCGUCCGGAUUGUUUGAAUGAUUGGUUUUGCUGCAGAAAGUAUGUUUAGUGCAAAAACUUUUUAUCUCUACUUGUUUUGGCUAAUUUGAUCUGCUAAGGCUAUGUUUCAUUGGAAAAUUAAGUACUCGAAUAAUUCUUGGCAUUUCCAAAGUUUCCAUUUUAGGGCCAUUGGGCAAUUUUUGAAUAUCUAGAUAUACAAUUUCGAUGAGGACCGCAAUAGAGACUCCAGCCAAAAUUUGCUAAUUUCCAAUCUAUCUCCCACAACUCGAUUUAAAAACAAGGGAUAGUUUUAGAAAUCUCCUCCAAGGUUUCUAACAGUUUCAUUUAGGACUCUUAAAUUUUGAAAAAUGUCACUUGUUUUUCUUUACUUUUAAGUUUUUUGCAUCAUUUAUAGCCCGUUUUAAUAUAUAAUAUUAAAAAUUCAUUUUGG
rnacentral:lncRNA from 1 species